CGGGUGAGUAACGCGUGAGGAGCCUGCCUCAAAGAGGGGGACAACAGUUGGAAACGACUGCUAAUACCGCAUAAGCCCACAGGUCGGCAUCGACCAGAGGGAAAAGGAGCAAUCCGCUUUGAGAUGGCCUCGCGUCCGAUUAGCUAGUUGGUGAGGUAACGGCCCACCAAGGCGACGAUCGGUAGCCGGACUGAGAGGUUGAACGGCCACAUUGGGACUGAGACACGGCCCAG
rnacentral:rRNA from 1 species